rnacentral:rRNA from 1 species
CAGCAGCCGCGGUAAUACAGAGGGUGCGAGCGUUAAUCGGAUUUACUGGGCGUAAAGCGUGCGUAGGUGGUUUGUUAAGUUGGAUGUGAAAGCCCCGGGCUCAACCUGGGAACUGCAUCCAAAACUGGCAAGCUAGAGUACGGUAGAGGGUGGUGGAAUUUCCUGUGUAGCGGUGAAAUGCGUAGAUAUAGGAAGGAACACCAGUGGCGAAGGCGACCACCUGGACUGAUACUGACACUGAGGUGCGAAAGCGUGGGGAGCAAACAGGAUUAGAUACCCCCGUAGUCCCUGUCUCUUAUAA